CAUAUCCAGUGGCCGCAAGGAGACCAUUAACCCUGGAGACAUGGUUCAGGAUGCAAUCCACAACUUCUCUCCAGCUUACCAACAGUACACACAGCAGUCCACCCAGGAAGUAGUGCAACCCAACAUGAAUGGCAAACCAGGGACCAGCACCUCCAAGAGUUCGAAGAAAUCUGAUAAAGUGAUGCUGAUCGACACGGAUGAUGAGUUCUAGUGCCCCAGAGCUCAAUAAAGGGAUCUGAACCGUUUCCUGACAAGUAGACAACGCCAAGCAGGGGUUGUUUUGUUUUCCUCGUCAUAGUCCUGGAGCUCAUCCUUUCCUGAUCCUCCGUAGUGGCAGAUGAUCCAGCCUCAUGAUGGAGAGUCCCCUUCUCUUCUCUGACCCGUUCUGAAGCAUGGCGGAUAAACAUGAGGCACAGGGAGCUGUUCAGAUGGAAUGAAUCGGAGACCGACGCUUUAGGGAGCCAUUCUUGCAUCUGGUCGUUUGAAGUAUUUGCUCAGCAGCCCUCUGCUGGGUCUCCUGAUGAAUUGAACUGGUUCUCCGAGAUGCCCUGGCUUUGGAGAUCGCACUUCAAACUGUUGUCUGCUGCUCUUUGAAACCUUUGUAUCAAUCAUGCCACUCUGAGCACUGCCCCCACUUGAUUUGGAGGUUCAUUAAUUUUCACACCAGGCCUUCAAAGAGUGUGAGAUCUGAUGCAAAAAUGCAAGUCUCAGCCAUCAUGGUGUAUUUUAAUUGCAAAUCGUUUGUAUUCAAGAAUUAUUUGAUUGGUUAAAGCUUUAACCUGUGACAAGUGUAUAAUGGCACAGGUGUUACCGGGGCAUGUUAAUUUGUUAAUGUUAAAUUAUGUUGUUUGGUUCUCGUUUAAAGGCGGUUUGCCUAAAUUGUUUGUAAACAGUCCAACAUGAAAUGUAAUUUAGUUAAUUAUCAGACAAAGCUAUUGAAAUUGUUUUUUUUUACUACAACUUACCACAAAGUAAGUCCUGGUCAGUACUUUCUAAACAGUUUAAAGUCUUGUCUUUUAAAGUUUCUGAGCGCACCCUGUUUUGUCUUGAUAAAGAAUUGUUUUCAAAAUGUUUGUUGAUGUAUUUGUAAAUCUACUCCUGUAGUUCAUUUGAUCACAUUUUGCAAAUAUUAUCUUCAAAGAUGUGGACUUCAAAAUGAAACAACCUAUGUUUUGUGAUUCAGAGUUGCUCUCUUCACUUUAUAGACAAAAUAAGUUGACUUGUUUUGUCUAUAAUGUAGCCAUGUAUGUCAUCUUUUUUAAAUGAAUGUUAAGAGGAAGCAUUAUGCGCGUAUGACUUGUGCCAAUGAUUGCUGCCUUAUAACUGUGGAUGAUGAAGUGGUGUGUGUGUGUGUAUGUGUGUAUAGUAUAUUGUGUGAAUCAGAGUAUGAUCUAUAAACAGAUACUGAUAUUUUCGCUACCUGUACAGUUGGUUUUGACGACAAAAUCUGUUCUCAUAGGAAAUAAAUGAUGAAAGGGAGUGGAUUUUUUUUCUCUCAAGACUUGUGAAUCAAACGAGGUUACAUGAGAAAAGCUUUAUUUAAAAGUACAAAACAAACACUGCAGACUUUGUACAGGAAUAAUUUACAACAUCAAAUUUAGCCAGAAUGCAAAAAAAUGAAGGAUUUCAUUUGUACAUGAGGGUAGCUAAUUAAAAAGAAAACCGAAGAAUGUAAAUAAAAUAAUUUAGAUGUUGAAAAUAAAAAACAAAAAAUAAAUAUCAAAGAUCAAUGUGAUACAAGCAGAUUAAUGAUGAGAAUCACGAAUAUGAUUAAUCUAAGCCUAUUUUUGCUGCCUUUCAUGGUGUCCGUAUUUACAAUUGCUAAUUUAUAACACAAUUAUGCCUACUAGACCUAUCAAACAGGCAAAUCUGUGGUUGCACAUGGAAAUAAGAUUUUACAAACAACCACGCCCAUUCAUACAGUACUUAAAUGAUGACAAUCUCAAUGUUAAAGGCACUAUUUUAACUACAAGUAACAUGACUACUUCCCCCAAUACCUUACAGUUUCAUCUUAACAUUGACAAAUAUAAAGUAAUAAUUUGGAGCAGCAUACUUUAUAUGUCAUGGAGUUUCUCUAAGAUUUUUAUAGGCAAGUGUGUUUUAAAGAGCAUUGGUUAAAAUUCCUAUGUGCGUUCAUGGUAUGGCGUAAAUAGCUUUUAAGGACUGACUGAGCACAUAUUAUAUACUUUGAAAAACAGAUAAAUUCAUAUGUAAAAUAUAGAAUAAUUUAUCCUAUUCAGCCCAAAAGGCCACAUACAGCAUACAUAUAAUUUAAAAAAAAGACAGAAAAAGUACCCACUUAGUUUAAAGACCAUUUUCACCAUCUAACUGUGUUAGAAGGAACGUUUACUGCACAAAACUGCUUCAAAAUAGGGAAAUGUCUACAGGCUUCAGUCACAAGAUGACCUGUAAUGCCUCUGUCAGUACUGAUCUUGUUUUUAAUCUAAUUGAAUCUACACAAAUAACUACAACGAACUGGCCAAAAACACUGGCAUCCCUGUAAAAUUACAGAAUAGUUCUGUGAUGCCAUGUUCGGUUCUUAUUAGUCUGAAUUAGGGCAUUACGAUCUAGUUACUAGAGGGUGUAUUAUUAUUUAACUCACAAUAAAAAUAUUAGUAAAAGAAUAGAAACGAAGUGAACUUUAAAGAAAGUGCACAGAUGGGUUAUGGCUUUGGUGGCAGCUGAAAUGAACAAUAAAGCAAAACAGCAGUGCCUCAAUAGUCCAAGAAAUGAUAGCUCUUGGUGUCAUCAGCAUUCGAUCACAGCAUUUUGAAAAACAGAAAAAAACAAAUCACCACCAGAUGUCAGUGUAAAGCACAGAAAGAGCCAUUUUGUCAAUUUCUCUAAAAAAAAAAAAUAGUAUACUUGUAUACUCGUCACUGUAAUUUCAUAAAGAAGUGACACAUUGCACUUCCUACCAAGGGAAGUAAAUUCUGAUAAAUUCUAAUAUUAUGUAAUGUAUUAAGUCUUAGAGGAACACAUGGAACACAACACAACACAAAUUGGCCACAACAUGACGAAUGGAAAAUUCCUGGGUUUUUUCACUCUAAAAGGCUUUUGUGGCCUAAAGGGAAAGCAUAUACAGCUAUUUAAAAACCCAUAGGUCCAGAAAAGAGGAUCUGCCAACCAGAGCUGUGGUCACAUUUAAAAGAACUGCACAGGACGCUUUCACAAACUGAGGUUUGAAAUGCUGACUGUAGGACCAAAAACAAUGGCAAAUAAAUGAUGAAUACUGAAAUGACGUGUUCUUAAAAUCUGCACUCUUAAAAUAAAGAUCCACAAUAUCAUCUGAACACUACCAUACAGCAUAAAACUAAGUGUGUUGAGUUUAUGUACUGACAUAAAUAUAGGAAUUGAGAAUGGGGCUUUCUUCUAUUGGACAUCUGAACUAAAAUCAGUUAAAUAAACCACUGAUAUUAAAAAAGAAGCACAACAAUCACACCACUCUGAAGGUAUUUCAUGUCCUGGAUACAUAUAAAAACAAUGGGAAACAUCAGAUCUAGAUUAUGUUUGGCGAUAAAGAAACAUAAAACACUUGUGGAGAUAUAAAAAUGCUAAGAGCACAACAGGACCCCAGAGAUUUGGGGCAAACAGUGGGCUUCCCAGCAGCACAACACCCCUCUAAUGCUUCCUGCAGUGGUGGAAGGGCUCACACGAACAGUCAUAGCCACUUAGGUAAGAGACAAUCCUGAUUUCAGCCAUCUUCAGUUUAAUGACAGAUUCGUUCAACCAAAUACAGACGGUGUGUUAAUGUUUUAGGGAUGAAUGUUUGAGCUGGUUUCAGGACACCAGGAUUCUCCUUACCCAAAGUGUCUGUGUCGAAAUAUCAAAUAUUUGCAUUUUAUGUACAUUUUAAUCAGGGUUACCAACACCGGCAGUGGCACCUUUUGUGACUUAGCAGUAGGAAUGCUUUCGGAGCGGACGGAAUUUUCUAUACGAAGUUGGGAGCUUAACUUUGACAUUAUUUUUUUUUAAGCUUAAGGCUGUUAACUCAGUUCUGUAAUAUACAGGUUAUAACUGAACUGCAUUUUUUUGUUUUGCCAAGACAGCUCCUGGUAUCACAAUAUCCAAUAUGGAUUACCUACCAUUUUAUGGUGUCAUAUAGACAGGUCAGGAAAAACGGUAUAUAUAACUGACAACACAGAUGUGCCGCUUGGAUGUUAUCAUCAACACGUUACACUUUGAGGAUAAUUAACUUUAUACUAACUAACCUCUCAUAAAACAAAUGCAACAAUAAAAAAGCCUCCAUGAAGUGCGCUUUCCUAGAAACUCAGUUACUCUGUAAUUUCAGUCUUGAAUAUUCACAUACGUCAGUCUGCUAUGCAAGUGCUUCAUAGUAUUAUACUGUAAUUCAACAGUUAAAAUAAGUGCCGUUUUCCCAUUUGGGAUUCCUAUGUUUAAACUGCUGACUAAGAGAGGAUUGGCUCAUUUCCCAUUGGAUAAUAUGCAUUGUUUAUCAGUAAUGUAACGCUUCAGGAUAAGGAUUUGCCCUUGAUGUCGAUAACAUCAUUCUCAACUUUGGACUGUGUUGGUCACCUGAUUUUUGACCAGGAUCAGAAUCGCUGGUCUUUCACAAUGAUUGGUAGUAAUGUAUUAUGAGUUUAUGCCAACGUAUUUCAUGAUGCAAGAUGACAGCAUCACAUAAACCGUGUCAAAAAACUGUUCCUGUUCAAAAGUUUGGGGUCGGUAAGAAUUCUUAUGCUUUUGCUCAGCAAGGCUACAUCUAUUUGAUCAAAAAUACAGUAA